UACACCUGAUUUUGAGAUUCAAGAUGUCAAGUCAUGGAAUUACUAAGGCAGGAUUUUGGAAAAGGUUUAUAGCACCAAUGAACAGUUCUGAAUUCUUCUUUUUCUGCUGAUGCUGGUGCAUCUGUGGUUGGAUCUCAGAGGGGACUACCUGCCUUAGUCAAGAAAGACGUGAUCCAGAUAUGUUAUCUGAUGGAGCUCCUGUCCUCCUGGUCCAGACUCCUUCAAAGCCCUGAGGAUAUAGAUGUUACAGACAGCAAUGAUUAUCAAGACACUGAACUGGAUAACUGACAGUAUUACUUCCAUAUAAUCUGCUGGAAUUAUCAUCAAAGAGGUGGAGUAACAGACAGUGAAGACCCAAGCAACAGCUGAGCACACUGCUCUCCACUUGUAGUCUCUGAACUCCAUGAAAGUAAUGGGAUGAAGCACUGCCAAGUACAAAUCCACACAGACACAGUAUCUCUACAUUCUUUGGUGGCUGUUGACAAGAGAAUGGAUCCCAUUAUCGAUGGGCUGGGAAAGGCUGCCACCAGUGGACAGGGGAGGUACAGAAAAGGAAUGUGUUACCAAAAGCAUACACAAUUAUCAAAACAUAGAAGAUUAAAAGAGUCAAGCACAGACUGAUUCAAGGACAUCAGAGAGGAUACUGCUGGAUUCAUGAAGAACUGAAAAAUCAACAAUUCAAUUCAGAAUGAACUUCAUCUGCUUAAUUUAAUUAGUGAGGGUGGUAAGAGCUCUGUACCUGUAACUGGAAGGUUUUUCAUAUCCCACAUGACAAAAUUAAUCAAUGUGGUUAAUACACUGCAGUUACGGCCAAGACUUUAAAAUUGUGUUUUAUUCUAUUGUUAUUUUGUUUCUGUUCACCUGGUGUUGGGUGGGCUGUGUUAUACCUGUUGAAAGGAAUUUAGUGUUUUGAAUAUACCCUCAUGUUACGCAUUUUCAGUUUGCAAAUGUAAGUAACAUUUCCUGUGACUGCUGUUAUUUUUGAUCUGUCAGAAGUGGUUCAUUUAUACUCUGUGACCGUGUUAC